GCCAGGCGCGGUGGCGCGUGCCUCUAGUCCCAGCUACUCGGGAGGCUGAGGUGGGAGGAUCGCUUGAGCCCAGGAGUUCUGGACUCUGGAGCCCAGGAGUGCGCUAUGCUGAUCGGGUGUCCACACUAAAUUCGGCAUCAGUAUGGUGACCUCCUGGGAGUGGGGGACCACCAGGUUGUCUAAGGAGGGGUGAACCGGCCCAGGUCGGAAACGGAGCAGGUCAAAACUCCCAUGCUGAUCAGUAGUGGGAUCGCACCUGUGAAUAGCCACUGUGCUCCAGCCUGGGCAACAUAGCGAGACCCCGUCUCUA
ensembl:misc_RNA Metazoa_SRP Metazoan signal recognition particle RNA